AUGGCUGGCGGAGGCAGAGGACACGGCGGCGGGUGGAGCUCCCUGCCGGCGGAGCUUAUACAUGAAGUAUCGAACCGUCUGCACGCCGACGUAGACCAAAUCCACAUCCACCAGGUAUGCUACCACUGGCGCGCGUCCACCGCCCCGCUCGCAGCCUGCCGUCCGUGGAUCGUCGCCGCCCACGACCGCCACCGCAACCCUGUCAGCGCCGUUAACCUUGUCUCUAACCACUCCUUGCUGCCCCGCGGUGGAAAAAGGAUGCACUCCCGGGCCCUAGCCCCGGCCGGCCUCCGCCGCUGCUGCUGA
rnacentral:rRNA from 1 species